rnacentral:rRNA from 1 species
UACAGAGGGGGCAAGCGUUGUUCGGAAUUACUGGGCGUAAAGGGCGCGUAGGCGGCCUUCUAAGUCGAACGUGAAAUCCCCGGGUUCAACCCGGGAACUGCGUCCGAUACUGGAAGGCUUGAAUCCGGGAGAGGGAUGCGGAAUUCCAGGUGUAGCGGUGAAAUGCGUAGAUAUCUGGAGGAACACCGGGUGGCGAAGGCGGAUCUCUGGGCCAUUACUGACGCUGAGGAGCGAAAGCGUGGGGAGCGAACAGG